GCCUGGGUAGCUCAGUCGGUUAAGCACUUGACUUCAACUCAGGUCAUGAUCUCACUGCUCGUGAGUUCAAGCCCCGUGUCAGGCU
rnacentral:tRNA from 1 species